rnacentral:rRNA from 1 species
UGGGGAAUUUUGGACAAUGGACGAAAGCCUGAUCCAGCAAUGCCGCGUGUGUGAAGAAGGCCUUCGGGUUGUAAAGCACUUUUGUCCGGAAAGAAAUCCUUGGCUCUAAUACAGUCGGGGGAUGACGGUACCGGAAGAAUAAGCACCGGCUAACUACGUGCCAGCAGCCGCGGUAAUACGUAGGGUGCAAGCGUUAAUCGGAAUUACUGGGCGUAAAGCGUGCGCAGGCGGUUUGCUAAGACCGAUGUGAAAUCCCCGGGCUCAACCUGGGAACUGCAUUGGUGACUGGCAGGCUAGAGGUAUGGCAGGAGGGGGGUAGAAUUCCACGUGUGAGCAGUGAAAUGCGUAGAGAUGUGGAGGAAUA